GAACCAUAGACUGUAAACAUAAUGGACAAAGCUUCUGGGUCUGAAAAGUGAAGCCAAUGCGGAAGUGCCUUAAACCUCAAGUCUGUCUAAUUUCCAGCAGGGGGCGACUCCACUGGUU